GAACGAAGCCUUCGGGCUUAGUGGCGGACGGGUUAGUAACGCGUGGGAACGUGCCCAUCUCUACGGAAUAGGCCCGGGAAACUGGGUUUAAUACCGUAUACGCCCUUUGGGGGAAAGAUUUAUCGGAGAUGGAUCGGCCCGCGUUAGAUUAGAUAGUUGGUGGGGUAAUGGCCUACCAAGUCUACGAUCUAUAGCUGGUUUGAGAGGAUGAUCAGCAACACUGGGACUGAGACACGGCCCAGACUCCUACGGGAGGCAGCAGUGGGGAAUCUUAGACAAUGGGCGCAAGCCUGAUCUAGCCAUGCCGCGUGAGUGACGAAGGUCUUAGGAUCGUAAAGCUCUUUCGCUGGGGAAGAUAAUGACUGUACCCAGUAAAGAAGUCCCGGCUAACUCCGUGCCAGCAGCCGCGGUAAUACGGAGGGGACUAGCGUUGUUCGGAAUUGCUGGGCGUAAAGCGCGCGUAGGCGGAUAUUUAAGUCGGGGGAACGAAGCCUUCGGGCUUAGUGGCGGACGGGUUAGUAACGCGUGGGAACGUGCCCAUCUCUACGGAAUAGGCCCGGGAAACUGGGUUUAAUACCGUAUACGCCCUUUGGGGGAAAGAUUUAUCGGAGAUGGAUCGGCCCGCGUUAGAUUAGAUAGUUGGUGGGGUAAUGGCCUACCAAGUCUACGAUCUAUAGCUGGUUUGAGAGGAUGAUCAGCAACACUGGGACUGAGACACGGCCCAGACUCCUACGGGAGGCAGCAGUGGGGAAUCUUAGACAAUGGGCGCAAGCCUGAUCUAGCCAUGCCGCGUGAGUGACGAAGGUCUUAGGAUCGUAAAGCUCUUUCGCUGGGGAAGAUAAUGACUGUACCCAGUAAAGAAGUCCCGGCUAACUCCGUGCCAGCAGCCGCGGUAAUACGGAGGGGACUAGCGUUGUUCGGAAUUGCUGGGCGUAAAGCGCGCGUAGGCGGAUAUUUAAGUCGGGG
rnacentral:rRNA from 1 species